UACGUAGGGUGCAAGCGUUGUCCGGAAUUAUUGGGCGUAAAGAGCUCGUAGGCGGUUUGUCGCGUCUGCUGUGAAAACCCGAGGCUCAACCUCGGGCCUGCAGUGGGUACGGGCAGACUAGAGUGCGGUAGGGGAGAUUGGAAUUCCUGGUGUAGCGGUGGAAUGCGCAGAUAUCAGGAAGAACACCCGUGGCGAAGGCGGCUCUCUGGGACGGUAUUGACGCUCAGGCACGAAAGCAUGGGGAUCAAACAGG
rnacentral:rRNA from 1 species